rnacentral:tRNA from 1 species
UGCCCUGGCGGGCUUUGGCAGGGCAUCUCGUAACGCGUAGGUCGUGGGUUCGAUUCCCACAGGCGGCUCCA